ACUGCAGAGAAGAAGGGUGUCCAUACCGGCUUGAUUGUGGGGAUUCUCCUGGUGGUCAUCGUGAUUGCAGCAGGCUUACUUGUGACGUUUUAUAUGUACCAUCAUCCGACAUCUGCAGCCAGUCUCUUCCUUAUUGAGCGCCGCCCCAGUCGAUGGCCUGCGAUGAAGUUCCGACGUGGUUCUGGUCACCCUGCUUAUGCCGAAGUGGAACCUGUUGGGCAGGAGAAAGAGGGUUUCAUUGUGUCUGAACAGUGCUGAAAACUGAGAAAGACAGUGCACCAGUACUGGCCUACAGGUGUGGAAUUGUUGCUUUUAAACAGAUAAAAGAAACCAGCUCAAGCCCGCAGUCCACAAAUUGCAAUACCUACUUCUGGAUCACCCUGAAUAGACAAAAGAGAAAUGAUUUGACCUGCUAGUCAGUAGCUUUCCUUAGUAAAUCUGCAAACUUCAAUGAUCAAGUCACUUCCAUCCCCGUGGGACAAGUAUUAGAGAAUUGGCUGAGCAUUAGAGAUGCAUAUAAUCCCGAUACUGAGGAAGCAAGCUCACUUCAGUUUCAAUGCCAGUUGUUCUCGGGCUAAAUAUGCAACAAACGUGCUUACAAUGUGAUGUUAACUCAACCAUCAAUCAGAUAAAAUCAUAAGUGUUAUCAGAAUUCAUGUACCCAAUCUGUUCAACAUUGCCUGCAAUUGCCAAGAUGUGUAUAUUUUCAAUAUGAGCCAUACAGUUGACACCAGUUGAUGAAGAUGGAGAUAGUGAGUAAAUUCGUUUUGGAGACAUUUUCUAUGGCACUAUUGUUUUGCUAGUGUUUUUAAAUUAAUAUGGACUGAUUUCUUGACAUUGACUGAUUAGACGAGCUAAAAGUGGAGAUUUUCAAUUAACUGGCUUUGGUUGUAUACGUUUCAGGUAACAGUUAAAGAUGUUAGAAUUUUAUAAGGUGAUAUUAUACAGACGUAAUGAAUUAAAUACCGUAAAUCUUCAUAUAUGCAUCUCAGAUAACCACAAAACCUUGUUAUGUUCCCAUGACUCUCUUUUAGUAAUCAUUGCAGUCAUUACUAGUAUAUGCAUAUUCAGUUCUCUUUCAAUGUGUUGCCCACAACAGGAAGCCACUUUAUCGGUGACAGGUUGGUAAGAUUCCUGUUGCAUACUUAGCUCCAAACAUGCACUAUAGCAUCAUUUUGACUCCUAAAGGUGGUGGGACUGGGAAGGUUGAAGUACGCCCUUAUUAGAACCAAAUGUUGGGAUACCGUUUGCACAUCAUACUAGCUCUGUGGUGGACACCUUAAUUACAUAGAUGAAUAUAUUUUGUUUGUUUCUUGAUAGUUUACACAAGACAGGUUCUUGUGCUCCAGAUUGUGAAGAAAUUAUUGAGUGUAUUUUUUUUCCAUCCAGAAGAGGAAAACAACAUGGAUUAUGACAUACAUAAAAUGGCUUGUAAAAUAGUAAUUAAGGCAAGAGAAAGCAGUUUAUUAAUUAACAGCAAAGAAUUUGUACCUUAAACUGCCUUUAGUGAUGUGGAUUGGUUUCUUUGUGAGCUUCUCUUGUGAUGUGAGACCGAGCUGUUGAAACUUUUAAAUUCAGGUAUGUAUUCUUUAAUAAAAAUCCUUGUAGAUGAUAAGUUCCAGGCUUACAAAUAAAGGCACUUGAAAUUGUUAGGAAAUCUUGACAAACGGCA